rnacentral:rRNA from 1 species
AGCGAACGCUGGCGGCGUGCCUAACACAUGCAAGUCGAACGUGAGAAGGGAAACCUGAGUAAAGUGGCGUACGGGUGAGUAACGCGUAGGUAAUCUACCCCAGAAUCUGGAAUAACCUGCCGAAAGGCGGGCUAAUACUGGAUAGAGCGAGGGAACUCGUAAGAGAGUUUUUCGGGAAAGGGAGCCCGCAAGGGCCUUCGUUCUGGGAUGAGCCUGCGUCUCAUUAGCUAGUUGGUAAGGUAACGGCUUACCAAGGCGAUGAUGAGUAGCUGGUCUGAGAGGAUGAUCAGCCACACUGGAACUGAAACACGGUCCAGACUCCUACGGGAGGCAGCAGUGGGGAAUCUUGCGCAAUGGACGAAAGUCUGACGCAGCCACGCCGCGUGAGUGAAGAAGGCCUUCGGGUUGUAAAGCUCUGUCGGAUGGGACGAACAUCUUCAUAGUGAAUAGCUAUGAGGACUGACGGUACCAUCAAAGGAAGCACCGGCUAACUCCGUG